rnacentral:rRNA from 1 species
UACGUAGGGGGCAAGCGUUGUCCGGAAUCAUUGGGCGUAAAGCGCGCGUAGGCGGCCCGGUAAGUCCGCUGUGAAAGUCAAAGGCUCAACCUUUGAAUGUCAGCGGAUACUGCCGGGCUAGAGUCCGGAAGAGGCGAGUGGAACUCCUGGUGUAGCGGUGGAAUGCGCAGAUAUCAGGAAGAACACCAACGGCGAAGGCAGCUCGCUGGGACGGAACUGACGCUGAGGCGCGAAAGCGUGGGAGCGAACAGG